rnacentral:rRNA from 1 species
ACCCCAGACUCCUACGGGAGGCAGCAGUGGGGAAUAUUGCACAAUGGGGGAAACCCUGAUGCAGCGACGCCGCGUGAGUGAAGAAGUCUCUCGGUAUGUAAAGCUCUAUCAGCAGGGAAGAAAAUGACGGUACCUGACCAAGAAGCCCCGGCUAACUACGUGCCAGCAGCCGCGGUAAUACGUAGGGGGCAAGCGUUAUCCGGAUUUACUGGGUGUAAAGGGAGCGUAGACGGCAGCGCAAGUCUGGAGUGAAAUGCCGGGGCUCAACCCCGGAACUGCUUUGGAAACUGUGCAGCUCGAGUGCAGGAGAGGUAAGCGGAAUUCCUAGUGUAGCGGUGAAAUGCGUAGAUAUUAGGAGGAACACCAGUGGCGAAGGCGGCCUGCUGGACGACAACUGACGGUGAGGCGCGAAAGCGUGGGGAGCAAACAGGAUUAGAUACCCGAGUAU